UAUCUGACAUCUAAAGAUUCUUUAAUUAGUUCAGACGUUGAUAUAACAAUGAAAAGUCGACUGAACAUGAUUAAUAUUGCAUCUUCUAUAAUUCAAAGCGGAAUUCGGUUUAUGAACGAGAAACCGUAAAGCGUUUUCAAUUUCGGUAUUAGUUAUGUAUGUUAUCUACGUAUUAUCCUGGUUCCCGGUACUACGUUCCGGGUAUUAGCUAUUUGAUAUAUUUGAUGUGUAACAUUACAAUCGGGUACCAGCCAAUCUACGUGUGUAUGUGUACAUGAUUUACCGCCAAAAUGACCGACUUAAAAAAUAGUCCAUAAACGUUCCGUAUAAUGAUAUGCAAAUUCAUAAUUAAUCGUAACUUUUUUUCAUCUUUGUAUAAUUAAUAUAACAAAAUGGAUUCCACAAAAUUGAAAAUAGCAUUAUUUUACGAGGAUUUCUCAUAUUUUUUUCACUUCCGGCGCAGUAAUACGUAUGUUUUGAAGAAGCUCGAAGAAAUUGACAAAGUGAAUUGAGAAGGAAACAGAUAGAUAUACGUUCUUGCUAUCAGGGCACAAACCCACUUUAAAGAGACUUGUCUACUGCCAUACCCAUCCUAUUUUCAUGCACUAUUUGCAAGCAAGAGACUGAAUGGUUUGCAAAAUUAAAAAUCAGGACGGUGUCCAAUUAAAACAAAAGAACUAAACUGGAUGAAUAUUGUAGGAGAAAUCUAGACAUGCUAGAGGAAAGUUUUGAUUUGUGAAAUUGGUUUUCCUGAAAAGGCAUUCAUCCUAGCCUGCAAAAAGGAACUAUAACUGUCCACCACCAACUGACGAGCUAAUGUUGAGCUUCACAUAUGGAAUUACUCAAAUACCAUCAAUGUCUAUGUUUUCAGCACAAAUUUCACAAUUUAUGACACAGCUGUGCUUUUUUUUAUACCGUUAAAGAGUUGUAUACUAAAUUUUAUUUUUUUAUCAAUAAAUAUAUAUUAUA